UGAGAGGAGAGAGAUCCUCAAGGGCACGUGCCAACAUUUGGACACGCCCUCUCUUUCCCUUCUUAUUUUUCAUGCAUGGCAUAAGAGGAGGCAUGGCCCCUCUUGUGCGCCCUCCUUUUCCUGCAUUUGGGAUGAGAAAGAAUUCCAAUUUCUAGCCCAAAUUAAAUUUGGUUUGAAUCUAAUUCAAUUUUAAAUUCAAUUAGAUUUAGUCAAAUUCA
rnacentral:lncRNA from 1 species